rnacentral:rRNA from 1 species
CCCGCUCAGACACUUAAAGGAAUUGACGGGGGCCCGCACAAGCGGUGGAGCAUGUGGUUUAAUUCGAUGGUACGCGAGGAACCUUACCAGGGCUUGACAUACGCCGGAAGCGCAUCGAAAGGUGCGUGCCGCUUGCGGCCGGCGUACAGGUGCUGCAUGGCUGUCGUCAGCUCGUGCUGUGAAGUGUUGGGUUAAGUCCCGCAACGAGCGCAACCCUAUUGCUAGUUACCAUUCAUUAAGUUGGGGACUCUAGCGAGACUGCCAGUGAUAAACUGGAGGAAGGUGGGGAUGACGUCAAAUCAUCAUGCCCCUUAUGACCUGGGCUACAAACGUGAUACAAUGGCUGGAACAAAGGGAUGCGAAGCAGUGAUGUGGAGCGAAACCCAUAAAAACAGUCUCAGUUCGGAUUGAAGUCUGCAACUCGACUUCAUGAAGUCGGAAUCGCUAGUAAUCGCGGAUCAGAACGCCGCGGUGAAUACGUUCUCGGGGUUU